AGCGAACGCUGGCGGCAGGCCUAACACAUGCAAGUCGAACGAACUCUUCGGAGUUAGUGGCGGACGGGUGAGUAACACGUGGGAACGUGCCUUUAGGUUCGGAAUAACUCAGGGAAACUUGUGCCAAUACCGAUUGUGCCCUUCGGGGGAAAGAUUUAUCGCCUUUAGAGCGGCCCGCGUCUGAUUAGCUAGUUGGUGAGGUAAAGGCUCACCAAGGCGACGAUCAGUAGCUGGUCUGAGAGGAUGAUCAGCCACAUUGGGACUGAGACACGGCCCAAACUCCUACGGGAGGCAGCAGUGGGGAAUCUUGCGCAAUGGGCGAAAGCCUGAUGCAGCCAUGCCGCGUGAAUGAUGAAGGUCUUAGGAUUGUAAAAUUCUUUCACCGGGGACGAUAAUGACGGUACCCGGAGAAGAAGCCCCGGCUAACUUCGUGCCAGCCGCCGCCGUAA
rnacentral:rRNA from 1 species